rnacentral:tRNA from 1 species
GCCGGGGUGGCCGAGCGGUCCAAGGCGGCGGGCUGCAGUGGCUGCGGAGACCCGUUAACUCCCGGGUUCGAAUCCCGGCCCCGGCU